rnacentral:rRNA from 1 species
GCAAGUCGAGCGCGCCCUUCGGGGUGAGUGGCGGACGGGUGAGUAACGCGUGGGAAUAUGCCCUUUUCUACGGAAUAGCCUCGGGAAACUGAGAGUAAUACCGUAUACGCCCUUCGGGGGAAAGAUUUAUCGGUGAAGGAUUGGCCCGCGUCUGAUUAGAUAGUUGGUGGGGUAAUGGCCUACCAAGUCUACGAUCAGUAGCUGGUUUGAGAGGAUGAUC